rnacentral:sRNA from 1 species
GCCAGAUGCAGUGGUGUGCACCUGUCAUCCCAGCUGCUUGGGAGGCCUAGGCAGGAGGAUUGUUUAAGUUCAAGACCAGCCUUGGCAGCAUAACAAGAUCCUGUUU